rnacentral:rRNA from 1 species
CCCGGUCCCAUUCCGAACCCGGAAGCUAAGCCCUCCAGCGCCGAUGGUACUGCACCCGUGGGGGUGUGGGAGAGUAGGACGCCGCCGACC